GAUGAACGCUGGCGGCGUGCCUAAUACAUGCAAGUCGAGCGAACAGACGAGGAGCUUGCUCCUCUGACGUUAGCGGCGGACGGGUGAGUAACACGUGGAUAACCUACCUAUAAGACUGGGAUAACUUCGGGAAACCGGAGCUAAUACCGGAUAAUAUAUUGAACCGCAUGGUUCAAUAGUGAAAGACGGUUUUGCUGUCACUUAUAGAUGGAUCCGCGCCGCAUUAGCUAGUUGGUAAGGUAACGGCUUACCAAGGCAACGAUGCGUAGCCGACCUGAGAGGGUGAUCGGCCACACUGGAACUGAGACACGGUCCAGACUCCUACGGGAGGCAGUAGUAGGGAAUCUUCCGCAAUGGGCGAAGGCCUGACGGAGCAACGCCGCGUGAGUGAUGAAGGUCUUCGGAUCGUAAAACUCUGUUAUUAGGGAAGAACAAAUGUGUAAGUAACUAUGCACGUCUUGACGGUACCUAAUCAGAAAGCCACGGCUAACUACGUG
rnacentral:rRNA from 1 species